rnacentral:tRNA from 1 species
GGGUUGCUAACUCAACGGUAGAGUACUCGGCUCUUAA